UUAUCUGCAUGAACCCAGUCUUCACUAUGAGUCAUCCAUACAUCAAUUGUCUUAAAAUCAUUUAUUUACUAAACUAAAUAAUUCACAGAAAUGCAAAAACAAAUAUGGUUACAAGGAAAUGAUAGGAG
rnacentral:pre_miRNA from 1 species